UACGGGGGGGGCAAGCGUUGUUCGGAAUUACUGGGCGUAAAGGGCUCGUAGGCGGCCAACUAAGUCGGACGUGAAAUCCCUCGGCUUAACCGGGGAACUGCGUCCGAUACUGGAUGGCUUGAGUUCGGGAGAGGGAUGCGGAAUUCCAGGUGUAGCGGUGAAAUGCGUAGAUAUUCGGAGGAACACCAGUGGCGAAGGCGGCUCACUGGCCCGGUACUGACGCUGAGGUGCGAAAGCGUGGGGAGCAAACAGG
rnacentral:rRNA from 1 species